CAUUAAUGUUCUGUAUCUUGGAUCAAUGAUAAUGGGGGUCUCUUGCUACUUUGUAGCUCUCAGAUAUUCAGUUGUGCUUUUAUGUUGCUUUUUAUCUUUAUACUACUUUCCAGACACUGACUAAUUAAUCAUAACACCACCCUGUCAAGGAAGGUAAAAUAAUUGUGAUAUUUUUUACAGAUGAGAAAUAAAAGCAAGGGAAGUGGAGCAAAUGGUUCAGAAAGACAGCAAAGUUGUGAAUAAAGACCGCUGUUAUAUGCAAAUCUACCUGAAAAGCAGAAGAAGAAUUAGUGCUGCUUAUCUUGCUGUGAAAUGAAAAGACUUUUUCCAACUCAACAUCCGGAAGUUUCUGACAGUGAGAAGAGGUGUUAACAACUGCCAUGAAAGGGCUUCUGAACUUGAGUUGGUACAGAAGCAACUUUUAGUGGUGGCCCACAGCAGACUACAUCAGAGGGCAAUUUAUAAUUCCUUGAAUGUCAUGAAAAACUUGAAGGUAAGUAUGAGGCAAAGAAAAGAUUGCAUCUUUGCAUUUUUCACACAUAACAUUGCUGCAUAAAAAUCUGAAAAUGUGUACUCCAGUUUUUUUAUAAAAAUGUAAUUGUUAAAGGCAUGAGGCUAUGCUUUGUUUAAAAGUUAAAAAAAAAAAAAACACACAAAAAACAAUAAAACAAAUUAUCACC
rnacentral:lncRNA from 1 species